CAAGUCGAACGGUAACAGGAAGCAGCUUGCUGCUUCGCUGACGAGUGGCGGACGGGUGAGUAAUGUUUGGGAAACUGCCUGAUGGAGGGGGAUAACUACUGGAAACGGUAGCUAAUACCGNAUAACGUCGCAAGACCAAAGAGGGGGACCUUCGGGCCUCUUGCCAUCGGAUGUGCCCAGAUGGGAUUAGCUAGUAGGUGGGGUAACGGCUCACCUAGGCGACGAUCCCUAGCUGGUCUGAGAGGAUGACCAGCCACACUGGAACUGAGACACGGUCCAGACUCCUACGGGAGGCAGCAGUGGGGAAUAUUGCACAAUGGGCGCAAGCCUGAUGCAGCCAUGCCGCGUGUAUGAAGAAGGCCUUCGGGUUGUAAAGUACUUUCAGCGGGGAGGAAGGCGAUGAGGUUAAUAACCUUGUCNAUUGACGUUACCCGCAGAAGAAGCACCGGCUAACUCCGUGCCAGCAGCCGCGGUAAUACGGAGGGUGCAAGCGUUAAUCGG
rnacentral:rRNA from 1 species